GAUGAACGCUGGCGGCGUGCCUAAUACAUGCAAGUCGAGCGAAUGGAUUAAGAGCUUGCUCUUAUGAAGUUAGCGGCGGACGGGUGAGUAACACGUGAGUAACCUGCCCUUGACUCUGGGAUAACUGCUAGAAAUGGUAGCUAAUACCGGAUACGACCCUCGGAGGCAUCUCCAGGGGGUGGAAAGAAUUGCGGUCAAGGAUGGACUCGCGGCCUAUCAGCUAGUUGGUGAGGUAACGGCUCACCAAGGCGACGACGGGUAGCCGGCCUGAGAGGGUGACCGGCCACACUGGGACUGAGACACGGCCCAGACUCCUACGGGAGGCAGCAGUGGGGAAUAUUGCACAAUGGGCGCAAGCCUGAUGCAGCGACGCCGCGUGAGGGAUGACGGCCUUCGGGUUGUAAACCUCUUUCAGCACAGACGAAGCGCAAGUGACGGUAUGUGCAGAAGAAGGACCGGCCAACUACGUGCCAGCCGCCGCGGUAA
rnacentral:rRNA from 1 species